rnacentral:rRNA from 1 species
UACGGAGGGGGCCAGCGUUGUUCGGAAUUAUUGGGCGUAAAGAGCGUGUAGGCGGCCAGGUAGGUCUGCUGUGAAAACUCGAGGCUCAACCUCGAGACGUCGGCGGAAACCAUCUGGCUAGAGUCCGGAAGAGGAGAGUGGAAUUCCUGGUGUAGCGGUGAAAUGCGCAGAUAUCAGGAAGAACACCCGUGGCGAAGGCGGGUUGCUGGGCCGACACUGACGCUGAUGCGCGAAAGCCAGGGGAGCGAACGGG